AAAAAAAAAAAAACUUAGAUCCUGAAAAGUCUCGUCUUCGGUUCCUCCGAAAAGAAAAAACCCAAAUUAAAUCUUUUCUCGCCACUUCAAUCAUCAACUGAUAGCAGGAAAUCUCAUUAAACCUUAUCAAUUUGUGUGUGCUCGAUGUGUAAUUGGUCUGUUUUAUCUUUAAAACUCAAGUUUGUUAAAUUUCGGAGUUAGGGUUUCUGAAAUGUACGAUGAUAAGGUGAUAGUCUAAAUGGGUUAUUUGAAGAACCAUGAUAAGGUGUCCAAAUUUCUUAUUUGAUCUUCAUAUUCUUUAUUUAACAGUGACUAGGAUUCCAUCUAUAGAGAACCAAUUGAUGGGGUUUAUUUUCCUUGUUUUUGCUCAAAUUUGUUGUUUUUUUUUUACUCAAAUUUGUUCAAAUCUGUUGUUACCACUUUAUAUAUUUCAUCACUUACUUGCAUUCCUCCUCUUUACUCAUUGACAAGGAAUAAUACAUCAAGCUUCUUUAAAGGUUAAUUUCAUCAUCUGUUCUGUUUUCUAUGUAAAAGUCCGAUGUAGAACUCAUGUUAUCUGAUUUGGUUAUGAAUAAACUGAUGAAUAUGUGCAAAGUGUUUGGUGAAAUGCAUCAACAAAAUGGAAUUAUUUUAUGAGCACCUGCAUUUUAAAUUACAAAGCAUUUUUUUUUUAUUCUUCUCAGUUUUGUAAUCAUCUUUACACAAGUAGGACAACUUAGCUGAUAUUAGUCAGUGAUCUUGUGAAAGACAACAUUACAGUUUUGAGAACUCUUAGUGUUAGAACAUGAGUAGUAAUCGACUGGUUAUGCCUCUCAAAUUCGAGUUCAUAGCCACUUAAUCUAGCACCACCACCAUGACACUACAAUACCAAUACCACGGCAACCACCUUUACCAUAAUACAACAGCACCACCACCACCACCAUAUCAGUAACCACCUGUCCAAAACAUCAACACCACCACUGCAGAAAUGUUAUUAACUUAGAAACUUAGACGCCAUCUUUUUGUAUGUGGCGGUGGUGAUGUGGGGGUGAUGCAGUAAUGCUGCCGUUGGUGGUAUUAAGGAAUUUAAGCUCAUUGAUGUUAUGUCCCUUUGAACUGCCUAAGAGAACAAUCUUGGAUGUUUGUAGAUUAUGUCUCUUAUUCAUAGCUAGCAGCUGAUUGAAACUUAGGUGCCCAUCUUUUGGUAUACUGAUGUAGCACAACUAUGAUCGUAGGUGAUGCUUACAAGCUUUGGCACCAAUUCCUGCUGAAAACUUGCUUUGUGAUUUUGUUGAGGCACUUGUUCUUUCGGAUAUACCCAUGAUGACUAUAAGACAUAGCUUCAUUGUUUUCACCUGACUCAUCUCUUUGUUUCAUGUUUUAGUAUUGCGUCUGCCAAUGAUUUAUGAUCUUAGCUAACGGUUACAAAGCCAGUGUUUCAAGUAUCAGCCUCAUUUGCUUCAUAAUCUUAACAAUGUACAUUAAUGGAUUGCAUGUUCUUGUUUUCCAGAUUGCUUCCUAAGGACUCACUCGCCAACUGUGAGGUUUCAUUGGCUGAUCUUUGAGGCAAUGCGGAUCAAGUGUGCAAGAAGUUCAGACUUAGAGUUGAGGAUGUUAAAAGAAAGAAUGUUCUUACCAAUUUCUGGGGAAUGGAUUUUACCACAGACAAGUUGAGACCUCUUGUAAGAAAGUGGCAGACAUUGAUUGAAAUGCGUAUUGAUGUCAAGACAACAGACAACAUCACCUCGAGGACAUUCUGCAUUAGAUUCACCAAGCAGCGAGACAAACAAGAUAGAAUUUGCUAACUUUUUAAUUUUCUCGACUCUUUUGUUUACAGCAAGCUAAAGUGUUAUCUGUUACUUAGAGAGUUGGGAUUGUUGCUCGCUGCUCAUGCUUUGUUCUGAUUUGCUUACGACUAUAAUCGGGUAAUAACAAAUCAACAGUCAUUACUUUCAGAUUGUUUGAAAUAGUUGUUAAGGGUUUAAGAAAAGAAAUCCCUGGAAAAAUACUUGAAAAAUGGUAGAAGAUUCUCCUGUCCAUGAGAUUGAAAAUGACAGUGCAGAUGACAAUUAUGAGGAGGAGGAGGAGGUUGUAAAAGCUUUGGAGGUGGAAGUAAAGCAAAUGGCUUUUCAGACCCUCAUGCCUGGGAUAUUAGGUCCAGCUGGCUCUGCAAACCAAGGUGUUCUAAGAAACGCGCAUUAUAUAUUGUGUCCAAUUCUCAUUGCACCUUGACUGCACUGAAAUUUUUGCAUAUGGCGCAGAGAGUUUGGAGUCAGUAAAGUAACAUUACUAGCAGAAGAUGAUCCCGAAACUGCAAGGAAGAUAUUGCAGCUUAAAGCCAAGGUUUCUAGGAACGUUGCUGCUCUGCCCAUCGUUUUAAAGAGAGUGAAUGACUGUAUUUCGAAGAUAGACAAUCUUGGUCGAUGCCCGCGGGACUGAAAGAAAGUAGGAGGAUUUCCAGAAGGAUGGGUGGCUCAAGGAAGAUAGACAUUGAGAAGUGAAGGAAGCUAAGUAUGGAAAGUACAGCUUCCGCUUGGAGUGUCAGGAGACUGAUGAAAAUAUGUGACGAGUUCUGGUCUGUCCACAAUCUCGAGGACGAUUGAUGAUUUUGGGAAUGCAGAAUCAGAAAUUACGAGCGAGUGGGAAGCAAGAAUGACUGCCCAGAGGGUUUUCAAUAACGUCGCUAAGCCUGGAGCCAAGUACAUUCUAGAGGAGGAUCUGCUUAGGUUCUUAAGAAGAGAAGAUAUGCAGACAAUAUUUCCUUUCUUUGAGGGAGUUGUUGAAACUGGACAAGUCAAAAAAUCUGCUUUCAGGAACUUGGUGAACUGUCGACACGGGAUAUUGGUUGGUCUGUUAACCAUUUCCAGGCUUCUAAUGUGGUAGGUUUUAUUUCUUCAGGUGCAUGCUUAUAUUGAGCGAAUAAGGUCUCUUGCUCAUUCUCUCAAUGACACUAAAACAGCAGUGCAGCAGCUUCACAAGUUAGCUAGUGCAAUUGUGUCAGUGGUUAUACUCGUGGUUUUCGUUCUAGUGAUGGGACUGGCGACAUCAAAAGUUAUCCUCUUGAUCACAUCCCAGUUACUACUCGUGGGUUUCAUGAUCCAGAACACGUGCAAGACCAUCUUUGAAGCUAUCAUCUUUGUCUUUGUAAUGCAUCCAUUUGAUGUAGGUGACCAUUGUAAAAUUGACGGUGUUCAGGUAAAAUCAGCAUAGAAGCAAAAGUUAUUGAACAUAAUUGUGUCUGAAAAGUAUAAUUUGAUUCCUUCGGAGUCACAUCAAGUUGAAGUUGGUAUUUUGUGCUAAAAUUAAUUGAUUGAAAACUCUUUGACGCAGUAGCAAUGUUUAACAAUACGUUGGUGUU